rnacentral:rRNA from 1 species
UAAAACCUACGGGGGGCAGCAGUGAGGAAUAUUGGUCAAUGGUCGGGAGACUGAACCAGCCAAGCCGCGUGAGGGAGGAAGGUACAGAGUAUCGUAAACCUCUUUUGUCAGGGAACAAAGGCGGGGACGUGUCCCCGGAUGAGUGUACCUGAAGAAAAAGCAUCGGCUAACUCCGUGCCAGCAGCCGCGGUAAUACGGAGGAUGCGAGCGUUAUCCGGAUUUAUUGGGUUUAAAGGGAGCGUAGACGGUUCUGCAAGUCUGAAGUGAAAGCCCGUGGCUUAACCGCGGAACGGCUUUGGAAACUG